rnacentral:lncRNA from 1 species
AUCAGAAUUCAAGGGGUGCAUAAACAGUUUCCUUAUCCAUCUAAAAAUCAAAUAAAGUAGGUGUUUAAUGUGCAAAAGGAUUCUCAGUCCUUUUGCAUGCCACUAAAUAUCAUCGCAUGAUCCCAUGCAUGCCUAGAGUCCAUGCCCCCUUAGACUCUUUCCAAGGAGCGUGGAUAAAGUUUUCAAUACCCAACUAAUACCCA